AUAAUAUUAUUAAUAUAUAUUAUUUUUAGUUUUAUGACAAAUUCACUCAUGGCCAAAUCUAAUAUGGCAGCUGGAAAAGGAAAAGGAUUUUUUUAGUCUAACCAAGCUAUACAACUUAAUAAAAGUUUUAUGACAAAUUCACUUAUGGCCAAAUCUAAUAUGGCAGCUGGAAAAGGCAAAGGAUCUUUUUAGUCUAACCAAGCUAUACAACUUAAUAAAAGUUUGUGCAUCGAGUUCUCACGAAUCAUACACAGAGUCGAUUGUCGAUGCAAUAAUUACUGAUUCGUGAAAGCGGGCAACUUUUGCUUGUCUUAAAGUGCCUUAAAUCCAACAGAUAUCAUCGUUAUAAUAUUACUUUGUUUGUAAAUUGUUAAAAAAAAUAAAUUUAAAAAUAACUUUUAA